ACGAACGCUGGCGGCGUGCUUAACACAUGCAAGUCGAACGGAAAGGCCCUGCUUUUGUGGGGUGCUCGAGUGGCGAACGGGUGAGUAACACGUGAGUAACCUGCCCUUGACUUUGGGAUAACUUCAGGAAACUGGGGCUAAUACCGGAUAGGAGCUCCUGCUGCAUGGUGGGGGUUGGAAAGUUUCGGCGGUUGGGGAUGGACUCGCGGCUUAUCAGCUUGUUGGUGGGGUAGUGGCUUACCAAGGCUUUGACGGGUAGCCGGCCUGAGAGGGUGACCGGCCACAGUGGGACUGAGGAACGGCCCAGACUCCUACGGGAGGCAGCAGUGGGGAAUAUUGCACAAUGGGCGGAAGCCUGAUGCAGCAACGCCGCGUGCGGGAUGACGGCCUUCGGGUUGUAAACCGCUUUCGCCUGUGACGAAGCGUGAGUGACGGUAAUGGGUAAAGAAGCACCGGCUAACUACGUG
rnacentral:rRNA from 1 species